rnacentral:rRNA from 1 species
UGAGGAAUAUUGGACAAUGGAUGGAAAUCUGAUCCAGCCAUGCCGCGUGCAGGAAGACGGCCCUAUGGGUUGUAAACUGCUUUUGUAUGGGAGCAAUAAGGACUACGUGUAGUUUGAUGAGAGUACCAUACGAAUAAGCAUCGGCUAACUCCGUGCCAGCAGCCGCGGUAAUACGGAGGAUGCGAGCGUUAUCCGGAUUUAUUGGGUUUAAAGGGUGCGUAGGCGGCGAUAUAAGUCAGUGGUGAAAUAUUUCGGCUUAACCGAGAGACUGCCAUUGAUACUGUGUUGCUAGAAUAUGGUUGCUUUCAGUGGAAGGUGUGGUGUAGCGGUGAAAUGCUUAGAUAUCACACAGAAUAUCGAUUGCGAAGGCAGCUCAUAAAGCCAUUAUUGACG